GUAGGUAUGCGAGCCAGUUGGUGUUUGAGUGGUCAAUAAACGCGCUGUUUCAUUUUUGCAUUUUUUUUCUAUUUAAAUAUUUGUGUUACGCUGGCAGGUCAGAAAAAUUAAUGUUUUUGUUGAAAUGGCACGUGUUAAUCAAAAAAUAUCGCCGAUUUACUUCGUAUCACAAAUUUAGAAAGUAAACUACAGCAUUAUAAUGGCUAUUUUCGUUUUAGAGAACAGUGAUCUUUUAAAAGGAGUCAUGAAAGCCUUUAGAAACGCUUUCAACUCACGAUUAAUUCACUUCAAAACUCGGCCAGUUUAUUAUAAAAUAUUCGAAAAUUUAACUGAAGCCUGAAUGCCUGAGUAAAUAUCCCGAAAUAAAUCCGUUUGAAAGUCCCGAUUAAGCUUCGGUACCUGAACCAGCUUGCCACUUCAAAUAUAAGUUUUUAACAAAAUGCGAAAGUAAAGUAAAAUAAACAUUAAAGUAACCAACACAGUUUUAACUUCGAAGUUUACUGAUAGUUCAACAGCAGUGUGCGUUCCUGAAGGUUUUAUGGUGAAGCCAAUAAACGAGCGAUGUUAUUAGAAUGAACGUUGUUUGGUUUCGGCUUUUGUUCGUGAUAAUUUGUGUUCAAUAUUGUUCAGGAUUUCGUUGUUACCACUGUCACCAAACUUCGAAAAAAUGCAACAAUGGAGAUUUGGACGAAAUCCAUCAGAAAAACUGCUCACAACGCAAAUGUACUGUUAUGAAAUAUGAAACUCCUGUUCCAGGCAGAAAAGUCCUGGCCACUAUUAGGGACUGUGCGUCCUCCACUGAACAUGAUCUGCUUCGAAUGGUUUCGGUCGAACUAAAAACGCCCGCAAAAGUACUUGUAUUUGAAGAGUGCGGAACUUCACUAUGCAACAUGGGCACCAAACACUAUUUAUUUAGUUUCACAUUGUUUCUAGUACUUUUACUGUUCUUAAUUAGCUAACAUUUUCCAGGAGACUGAGAUAUAGCACGAAUGUAAAUUGAUAUUUUAUACGUUUGUUAGAAAAUUAAACUGGAUUGGCCAGCAGCGUCGAUUAAACACUAAAUGGAGAAA